UCCGUAGGUAACCUGCGGAGGGAUCAUUAUCGAGUUUAUCCAACUCCCAACCCUAUGUGAACCUACCUUUAUGUUGCUUCGGCGGUCUCGCGCCGGGUUGCUCCCCUGGGGGCUCCCGGGACCACGCGUCCGCCGGAGACCACAAACUCUUGAUUUUGCGAAAGCAGUAUUAUUCUGAGUGGCCGAAAGGCAAAAAACAAAUGAAUCAAAACUUUCAACAACGGAUCUCUUGGUUCUGGCAUCGAUGAAGAACGCAGCGAAAUGCGAUAAGUAAUGUGAAUUGCAGAAUUCAGUGAAUCAUCGAAUCUUUGAACGCACAUUGCGCCCGCCAGCAUUCUGGCGGGCAUGCCUGUUCGAGCGUCAUUUCAACCCUCGAGCUCGUCUUCAUUGACGGGAUCGGUGUUGGGACCCGGCGAGCGGGGACUUUUGUCCUCUGCCGGCCCCGAAAUUCAGUGGCGGCCCGUUGCGGCGACCUCUGCGUAGUAACUCAACCUCGCACCGGUAACAGCAUCGUGGCCACGCCGUAAAACCCCCGACUUUUAUAAGGUUGACCUCGAAUCAGGUAGGACUACCCGCUGAACUUAAGCAUAUCAAUAAGCGGAGGA
rnacentral:rRNA from 1 species